rnacentral:tRNA from 1 species
GGGCGGUUAGCUCAGUUGGUUAGAGCGCUACGUUGACAUCGUAGAGGUCGGGGAUUCGAAUUCCUUACCGCCCACCA